GUGUGAAAGGUCGGAGGGCGGUGGCAGCGUUGCGGGUUCGAGAAGAUUCUGCGUUUGCCAGUGAGGGAAGGGGGGAAAAGGAGCACUAACAUGUCAGAGAUUGUCCGGAGUUGUGUCCGAGACACUGAGUGACAGCGCAUCUGUUGAGACACCAUGUUCGGGUGCCUGGUUGCGGGUCGAUUGGUGCAGACAGAUGCACAACAAGUUGCAGAGGGGAAAUUUGUCUUUAAUCUUCCUGAUUAUGAGAGCGUCAAUCACGUUGUGAUCUUUAUGCUGGGGACAACACCAUUUCCUGUAGGAGCAGGAGGAUCUGUCUAUUUUUCUUACCCAGACAAGUGUGGGAUGCCGGUGUGGCAGUUACUAGGAUUCAUAACUAAUGAAAAACCCAGUGCAAUAUUCAAAAUAUCACGUUUAAAGACACAAGAAGGGAGCCAGCACCCUUUUGGGACAAUGAAUAUUGCCCAGACGCAGUCAAUUGCCCAAAUUGGCAUCUCUGUGGAGCCCAUGGAACUGUUAACGCAGCAGACUCCAGAAGCAAGUGCAUCUGUAUCGACAGUUGAUUCAUUUACACAGUUUACGCAGAAGAUGCUAGACAACUUCUAUAAUUUUUCAUCCUCUUUUGCACUGACUCAAGAUCGGAUGACUCCAAAUCCUACUGAGAUGUUUAUCCCUGCAAGUGUUGUCAUGAAAUGUCAUCUAGAACAUAGGGAACAUCAGACUGCUUGGUGAUUCUGCUCAUGGCCCUGGGUAAAUCUUCCAUUCACAAACUUAACAUGAAUGGAUUUGAUCAGCAGUUAUUCCCAAUAACUUAAGGAUCUUUUUGGAAACCUAAGUGAUAGUGGAAUGUGUCCAUGAGGUUGUUCCUAAACAGAGGUAUGAGAAUUUUCAAAGAAGAUUGUCCCAAAACCCAAAUUUUUGGAAAUCAUAAACUCUGCUGCGGAAGUGAAUUGUAACUAUCAAUGCUGUUCAUCUGUUUAAACCAUUUUUUAACAAAUCUUUCACAAAAUGUCACUCUGAAUACAAAUUUGCAUAGUAAUCAAGUUGGUUUGUAAUUUAUUUUGGAAUACCUGUCAUGUGUAUAUUAUAAUUAGUAAGAAACUUUUAAAAUUGUGUUUGAACUGCCACUUCUAUUUAAUGAAUUUACUCUGAAUUGGAAUUCAGCAGCUGAAAAUGCUUAGAAGCUUUAUCACAUAUAUUAAUGGCAUGAAUGGGUUGUUAGUCAUCCUGAAAGAAAUUCAGAAGGAUACAAAUAUAGUUCUUAAAGCAACUGCAAUUUUUAAAAUAUUGUAUCUAAAAUACUUUCUAAUUUUUUUGCUAAAGUCAAUGGUGUAUAUAACUUAUGAAGACGUGGCUGUGUUUCAAUGAACACUGCUUUAUUAGUUUAAAUUUUAUGCUCUAUACUGAUACCUCCAUUCUAGUCAGUUAUUUACAUGAAAUACCACUUUUUUCCUCUGUAUUUUAAACUUAUAGUUACCAAGGUAAAGAAAAACUGAAAAAUUGGAUUGGAAGAUAUUCCAGUGCUUAAAGUGCAUUGAGGGAACAUUUAUAUGUUACCAUGAAUCAAGGCCAAACAUCUCAAAUUUCAACAUAAUCAAACCUCAAAGUUCUGAAACAGGAAGUUCCAUUAUGAUAAACUUUUACGUGAAAUUUUGGUUGUAACUUGCUGGAUAGUAUUUUGUGACAGUCGCAAGUCAUGAGUUGAAUAUGGCUCAGUAUGGUUUUGUAGAAGAGUGUUGGUUGUAUAUGGAGUAAUAUGCUUUUCCUUACAUUGAUAGGAGUAGAUGGAGUAACACAAGUAGAAGAUGAUCUCUCUGUCUCUGUACUUGCAUACCCAGGUCCACUUCAAAGCAAAGUGCAUGCAAGAAAUGCUGAAGAGCAUUGUGAAGAGACUUGUGGAUGGGAAAGGGGCAGGUUGUUGGAGAAAAGGCAGAAAUUUGACGGUAAAGCUAACCACAGAAUUGGUUUAGUAGAAUUCAUAAAGAUUUGUGGCAAUGGAAACUUAUCAAUGUAAUGAACACUGUAAUGCAACCCAAUGAGAAAUGAACAACAUAUAUAGUCCUUAAAAUGGGUGGAUGGUACUUAAUGUAGUGUUGACUGAUUGGUACUUAAUAUAGUAUUUGCCCUAAGGUAACUAAAUUUUUGCCUUGAGACUAAUCAUCUAUAUAAGUCGAAAAGCUUCCAAUACAGCUGUUAGUGGGGCAACAAGAAAGCUUCUUUUGCAAAUUCUUCAAGUACAAAUUGACAACUGGAUGGAGGAUCAGGGUUGCAUGAAUUGAAAAUUAUUCCAAAUAUCACUGGGAUACAAGAUUAGUUAGCUAUUCUAACUAGUCUGUUGAAAUGGAGGCUUUUUGUGCAAAAGGAUCUUCAUUUCAGAAGGUCAUUUCUGAAACUGGAAGAGAAUGACAAAUGGCGAUCCUUCUCAAGAUCUUCAUAAUUUUCAUCAAAAAUAGUAAGUGAUGCUGGAAAAUAGCUUAUAACUAAGAAUUUAUUUGGAAGCACAGUUAAUUAUUCAAUUUGCUUAAAGCAUUGCUUUUAAGAUUACGUUUUUUUUAUUGAGUUCAUCUUUUACUGACGGGCUGUAUUGGGGGGGGAAAAUAUUUUUUAACCACUCAUCAUCAUCAUCAUCAUCAUCAUCAGGUGCCAUGCCAAGUUUGAGCUUUGACUACCAUGUCCCACAUACUCCUGUUUCGGGUCAAGUGGAUCAAUUCAUUGGUAUUCAUUGCCAGUUCUCUGGCUGCUGUCUCCAUCAUCAUUUAUCUUUGCCUUCCACUUGCUUUGUUCCCUUCGAUCUUUCCCAUAAUUACCGUGCAUCCUAACUCCUCUUUCCUAAUCACAUGUCCAAUGAAGUUACGUUGCCUUUUCAUGAUCUCAUACAUUACUUCUCUUUUUGUGCUUGCUCUGUUCAUGACAUCCUCGUUAGAUGCUCAUUUCGUCCAUGAUAUUCUUUGCAUCCUCCUCAAAAACCACAUCCCCAUUGCUUUUUACCAUUAGGUAUAUUUUUCAGCUAAUUAAUGUAUACCUUUGUAAAUAUUUGCCUCCAGUUUGAAAUCUGGCACACACUAAGGCAAACGGUUGUUGACACCAACUAGUUUGUUGAAGUGUGUGCCAGAUUUCUACCGCCCAUAAUAUCUGGCAUUGUUCCUCAAUCAAAAGUUCAUCUGAAAAGGACUAGCUUUAUUAUUUAGAUGAUGACCCCUCAUUUUAGACAGCUCGAGCAGCCAAAAUAAUAAUUUUCUCCUUUGAUCAGUUCCCUUAAUAUUUUGGAAGAUCAUUUCAAAAAAUAACUCGUUCUUAAAAUUUAGGAGCUACCUCUUAUGUAUAUAAUAAUCUAAAAUUUUAUCUCUUAGUUUCCAUGUGUCAUCAGUGUUAAUCAAUGAAAAGAGAAGUGAAAAAAAUCAAUGGCUCUAAAUUUCUAUUAACUUUCAAUUAUAUAACCAUAAUCAUUCCUUCACAACUUUAUUUCCAUGUGACACACAAAAUGCUGGAGGAACUCAGCAGGCCAGGCAGAAUCUAUGGAAGAAAGUACAUUCGACGUUUCGGGCUGAAACCCUUCAGUA